rnacentral:ncRNA from 2 species
GUGCGCUCCGGGGCUCGGUGAAAGUCCGAACCGGCGGUCACAGUCCGCGAACCGCGUCCCACCCCUGGUGGGCCGGCCGAUCCGGUGAGACUCCGGAACCGACGGUGAAAGUCCGGAUGGGAGGAAGCGCAC